ensembl:lncRNA
UGGGGGCUCUGAAUCGGUAUCUUUUCCAUCUAGAAACUUGUUUUCCAAUAUUUUAAGGGGCUUGCAUUUUUUGAAGUUUCUGAGAUAAAAUAUGCAGCCUUUGUAUUUGUUAUUACAACAGUGCAUUUAUUGCAGCGCUCCCUAAACAGUUUGCAGUCUGAGAUAGGUUUCUCCUGGCUUUGGACUAAAAAAAUUGUCCUUCAGCAUUCUUAUGCAAUAAUAAUUAGGGCAGACCAGGCCUGGAUGUCACACUAGAGGGCGGAGUUGGGCAGUCUGUGCAGUCUGAAGAGUUUCAAGACAAACAAAGCAGUGAAGAUGGACGUGCUGCCCUGCAUGAUGCUCGUCUUCCUGCUGUCAGUUGGAGCCUCUCUGGCCCAGGUGGAUCUGACUCGUAUCGUAAGAAAAAUCAGAGGACAAUACAGCAUAGAUGGACAGUUCUGUCUGGCUGCAGUCAUCCCGGUAGAUCUGAACCUAAACACUCUUAACCAGGUUUUUGAGGGUGAUCCCUUUCAGGCUGUUCUGGGAAAGAUUGGGGAAAGAACCUCAGACAAUAACAAUCGUGGAGUGUAUGUAGGCCAGAGGGUGAUUGUGGCCAGACCAACAUCACCUGAAGGCGGACGAAGUGGACAACAUGCAGAAAGUCGUGUUCUGCAAACCCUGAGAGAGCGGCUGGAAACUGAGAACCUGAACAGAUUCCUAAACAGCCAGGACAACUUCCUGCUCAUCUACUCUUUUGCCUCUGCAUGUGAUACAUGCACCAGCCGCUACCAUUCAUCGAGCAUCAUUGAGGACCUUGAACUUAUCGCUGAAACCUACUAUUCUGUAUUUGUGUUUAAAAAAAUCUUUCAGCCCAACAAUCAGCCUCCCAUUCCUGAAAACAUUUUGGCUGAUUCCCUUCGUUCUCUUGGUGAUGCCAUCGGUGGGCUUAAUAACAUCUUUCGUUGUGACCCAGAUUGUUACAGCUGCUUUGGAAGGGAAACAAACGCAAUUUCACAAUAUUGUAUUAUUAACAAUGCUUAGUGUUGGGUCUAACACUUAAACCCCGCUGACUCAGAGACCAAUCACCUGUGUACAAAGGAAGAUCACACAGAACUCAGUCAGUUUUUACUUGCUGCGCAAAGGGAGUCCAAGCUCUUCUCCUGAUCUCAGUUAACUCUAAACUCCAGCCUCCCCUCUCAGUUCUUCUAUUAACCUCAAAUUCAAAUUCAAAUUUUAUUUGUCAC